UACGUAGGGUGCAAGCGUUGUCCGGAAUUAUUGGGCGUAAAGGGCUCGUAGGCGGUUUGUCGCGUCGGGAGUGAAAAUCCAGGGCUUAACUCUGGACUGGCUUCCGAUACGGGCAGACUAGAGGUAUGCAGGGGAGAACGGAAUUCCUGGUGUAGCGGUGAAAUGCGCAGAUAUCAGGAAGAACACCGGUGGCGAAGGCGGUUCUCUGGGCCGAUACUGACGCUGAGGCACGAAGGCCAGGGGGAGCAAACGGG
rnacentral:rRNA from 1 species